GACGAACGCUGGCGGCGUGCCUAACACAUGCAAGUCGAGCGAAGUGACUCAGAGUAAAGUCUUCGGAUAGAGCAAAGAGUCAUCUUAGCGGCGGACGGGUGAGUAACGCGUGAGAAACCUGCCUUUCACAAAGGGAUAGCCUCGGGAAACUGGGAUUAAUACCUUAUGACACUCUUAGAUCGCAUGAUCAUAGAGUUAAAGCGCAAAGCGGUGAAAGAUGGUCUCGCGUCCUAUUAGCUAGUUGGUGAGGUAACGGCUCACCAAGGCUUCGAUAGGUAGCCGGCCUGGGAGGGUGACCGGCCACACUGGAACUGAGACACGGUCCAGACUCCUACGGGAGGCAGCAGUGGGGAAUAUUGCACAAUGGAGGAAACUCUGAUGCAGCGACGCCGCGUGAAUGAUGAAGGCCUCGGGUUGUAAAGCUCUGUCUUCAGGGACGAUAAUGACGGUACCUGAGGAGGAAGCCACGGCUAACUACGUGCCAGCAGCCGCCGUAAAAC
rnacentral:rRNA from 1 species